rnacentral:lncRNA from 1 species
GCUGAAGUGGAGACACGAAAGGUGGGGACUCUGGUAUGAUUGUAUUUUUGGCCAUGGGGAUAGAGACAUCUUAACUAAGGCACUGUCCUGUAUGGAAUGCAUUUCUGCCUGCUGGCCACCGUUUUCUUCCGUGGGCCGGAAAGUCUCAGGGGUGUCACUGAGCAGUCUCUAGACUGUCCUCCUUGUCUGUCCUGUUCAGGUGGUGCUGAUGCAGUGCAACAUCGAAUCUGUGGAGGAGGGAGUCAAACACCAUGUAAGCUCAGGGCGGGGCUUCCCAGGGCUGACCACGCGGCCUGCUGGGGAGAAGGAGCCUCAUUCUGAUUGUCCUUUUUCUAGCUAACACUUCUGCUGAAGCUGGAGGACAAAUUGAACCGGCACCUGAGCUGUGACCUGAUGCCAAAUGAGAGCAUCCCGGACUUGGCAGCUGAGCUGGUGCAGCUGGGCUUCAUUAGUGAGGCUGAUCAGAGCCGCCUGACUUCUCUGCUGGAGGAGACGCUCAACAAGUUCAACUUCACCAGGAACAGUACACUCAACACAGCCACUGUCACCGUCUCCUCGUAGAGCUCACUUGAGCCAGGCCCCUAGCCAGGCUGUGGCUGUCCCUGGGCAUGCUGCAGUCCUCCUGUCCCUUCUCCCCAGUCAGUAUUACCCUUCGCGCCCAUAUUAUUUAGGAGGGCUUUAGGGGCUCCCUGGUUGAGUAUCACCCUGCCCCUUCCCCUCUCUUCCUCCCCUCUGCACUUUGUUUACUUGUUUUGCACAGACGUGGGCCUGGGCCUUCUCAGCAGCCACCUUCUAGCUGGGGGCUAGUAGCUGACCUGCUGCCUCCUGCCCUACUUGUGUGGACAGGAGGCCCACGGGCACUGGGGAAGCUGAGUUCUACA